AUUGAACGCUGGCGGUAGGCCUAACACAUGCAAGUCGAACGAGUGGCGGACGGGUGAGUAAUGUCUGGGAAACUGCCCGAUGGAGGGGGAUAAAUACUGGAGACAGUAGCUAAUACCGCAUCGCAUCGGAUGUGACCAGAUGGGAUUAGCUAGUAGGUGGGGUAACGGCUCACCGAGGCGCCGAUCCCUAGCUGGUCUGAGAGGAUGACCAGCCACACUGGACCUGAGCCACGGUCCAGACUCCGACGGGAGGCAGCAGUGGGGAAGAUUGCACAAUGGGCGCAAGCCUGAUGCAGCCAUGCCGCGUGUAUGAAGAAGGCCUUCGGGUUGUAAAGUAGUUUCAGCGAGGAGGCGUUACUCGCAGAAGAAGCACCGGCUAACUCCGUGCCAGCAGCCGCGGUAAUUC
rnacentral:rRNA from 1 species